CCCCUGCUCCUUGCACACACCGCCCGUCAAACCAUGCGAGUGGGGUCGGAGUGAAGGCACAUUCUUCGGUGUGUUUGAACUUCGAUUUUGCAAGCGGGGUU
rnacentral:rRNA from 1 species